rnacentral:rRNA from 1 species
AGUGAACGAGGGAGGGAGGAAGAACACAGGCAAGUCGAACGGCAGCACAGUAAGAGCUUGCUCUUACGGGUGGCGAGUGGCGGACGGGUGAGGAAUACAUCGGAAUCUACUUUUUCGUGGGGGAUAACGUAGGGAAACUUACGCUAAUACCGCAUACGACCUACGGGUGAAAGCAGGGGAUCUUCGGACCUUGCGCGAUUGAAUGAGCCGAUGUCGGAUUAGCUAGUUGGCGGGGUAAAGGCCCACCAAGGCGACGAUCCGUAGCUGGUCUGAGAGGAUGGUGAGCCACACUGGAACUGAGACACGGUCCAGACUCCUACGGGAGGCAGCAGUGGGGAAUAUUGGACAAUGGGCGCAAGCCUGAUCCAGCCAUACCGCGUGGGUGAAGAAGGCCUUCGGGUUGUAAAGCCCUUUUGUUGGGAAAGAAAAGCAGCAGGUUAAUACCCCGCUGUUCUGACGGUACCCAAAGAAUAAGCACCGGCUCACUUCGUC